rnacentral:rRNA from 1 species
UUGAACGCUGGCGGCAUGCCUUACACAUGCAAGUCGAACGGUAACAGCUCUUCGGAGGCUGACGAGUGGCGAACGGGUGAGUAAUACAUCGGAACGUGCCCGAUCGUGGGGGAUAACGGAGCGAAAGCUUUGCUAAUACCGCAUACGAUCUACGGAUGAAAGCAGGGGACCCUCGGGCCUUGCGCGAACGGAGCGGCCGAUGGCAGAUUAGGUAGUUGGUGGGAUAAAAGCUUACCAAGCCGACGAUCUGUAGCUGGUCUGAGAGGACGACCAGCCACACUGGGACUGAGACACGGCCCAGACUCCUACGGGAGGCAGCAGUGGGGAAUUUUGGACAAUGGGGGCAACCCUGAUCCAGCCAUUCCGCGUGAGUGAAGAAGGCCUUCGGGUUGUAAAGCUCUUUCAGCCGGAACGAAACGGUACGCUCUAACAUAGCGUGCUAAUGACGGUACCGGCAGAAGAAGCACCGGCUAACUACGU